GAUGAAGAACGUAGCGAAAUGCGAUAAUUAAUGUGAAUUGCAGAAUUCCGUGAAUCAUCGAGUCUUUGAACGCACAUUGCGCCUCAUGGCAUUCCGUGAGGCAGGCCCAUCUCAGCGUUAGAAAAUAUUCUCAAAUUUUAGUUUUGUGCUAAAAUUUGGAUCAUGUCAAAGAAGCUAUUACUAUUAUUGUGAUCGCUCUUUGGAAAUUGAUAGGUCUUUGAGUUGCUACUCAUAGAACGUGAUGAAUCUUUCUUCGUUCUAUUGUAAUUCACUCUGGUAGUCCUAAAACUUGUAUGCCUGUGGCAUAUCUUGUAAUUUGACCUGAGAUUGGGUAGGGAUACCCGCUGAACUUAAGCAUAUCAAUAAGCGGAGGA
rnacentral:misc_RNA from 1 species